rnacentral:tRNA from 1 species
GGAGAGAUGGCAGAGUGGUCGAAUGCACUGGUCUUGAAAACCAGCGUACCGCAAGGUACCGGGGGUUCGAAUCCCUCUCUCUCCGC